rnacentral:rRNA from 1 species
ACUCAAAUGAAUUGACGGGGACCCGCACAAGCGGUGGAGCAUGUGGUUUAAUUCGACGAUACACGAAGAACCUUACCUGGACUUGACAUAGUAAGAACUUUCUAGAGAUAGAUUGGUGUCUGCUUGCAGAAACUUAUAUACAGGUGCUGCACGGCUGUCGUCAGCUCGUGUCGUGAGAUGUUGGGUUAAGUCCCGCAACGAGCGCAACCCUCGUCAUUAGUUGCUAACAGUUCGGCUGAGAACUCUAAUGAGACUGCCUACGCAAGUAGGAGGAAGGUGAGGACGACGUCAAGUCAUCAUGGCCCUUACGUCCAGGGCUACACACGUGCUACAAUGGGGUAUACAAAGAGCCGCAAUACGGUGACGUGGAGCAAAUCUCAAAAAUAUCUCCCAGUUCGGAUUGUAGUCUGCAACUCGACUACAUGAAGUUGGAAUCGCUAGUAAUCGUAGAUCAGCUAUGCUACGGUGAAUACGUUCCCGGGUCUUGUACACACCGCCCGU